UUUUUGUGGCUUUAUGGGGGCAUAAGAUAGGAACCAACCUGUGUUUUUUAAUCAUCAUAACUUAUUUUAGCCGAUUUCAAUGCCAAGUCAGCUAUUUCUGCCACAUCAACCAUUGGAAAGUCAACAUCACUUUUGACAAUUUCCUUGCUACCAGAUCCAAACACAAACCCAUCAUCCUCACUGGAACGAACUGCUUCGGUGCCUUCCCUUUCUGAUUCAUUGUAGUAGCAAAUGCGUUUUGCAUCAAAUCGGACAUCGCGGGGGUUAGGAUUUGAUGCAUUUUUGUUUAUGAUGAUCUCGUCGUUGCUAUCAGGAUUUAGAGUUGUUUGUUUCAUCAUCAAAGGCUCUAGAUUUCAUCUCUAGGGUUGUAUCAGGUUAAGAGAUACACACACACAUCUGAUUAUUGAGCGGUUGAAAUUACAGUGUGAAGAGAGUAUUGAUUUUGUAAGGUAUGCCCUGUUUAUUUCACUCAAUGGGUUUAUGUUUAGAGUCGAAUAAUUAAUGUUGUAUUUCCCU